UACGUAGGGUGCGAGCGUUAAUCGGAAUUACUGGGCGUAAAGCGUGCGCAGGCGGUUUUGUAAGCCAGAUGUGAAAGCCCCGGGCUUAACCUGGGAAUGGCAUUUGGGACUGCAAGGCUUGAGUGCGGCAGAGGAGACUGGAAUUCCUGGUGUAGCAGUGAAAUGCGUAGAUAUCAGGAGGAACACCCAUGGCGAAGGCAGCAAACUGGCCGGCAUCUGACGCUGAGGCGCGAAAGCGUGGGUAGCAAACAGG
rnacentral:rRNA from 1 species